rnacentral:rRNA from 1 species
UACGUAGGGCGCAAGCGUUGUUCGGAAUUAUUGGGCGUAAAGCGUGCGUAGGUGGUUUGUUAAGUCUGUUGUGAAAGCCCCGGGCUCAACCUGGGAAUGGCAAUGGAUACUGGCAAGCUAGAGUGCGGUAGAGGGUAGUGGAAUUCCCGGUGUAGCGGUGAAAUGCGUAGAGAUCGGGAGGAACACCAGUGGCGAAGGCGGCUACCUGGACCAGCACUGACACUGAGGCACGAAAGCGUGGGGAGCAAACAGG